rnacentral:rRNA from 1 species
CCUACGGGAGGCAGCAGUGGGGAAUAUUGCGCAAUGGGGGAAACCCUGACGCAGCAACGCCGCGUGAGUGAGGAAGGACUUCGGUCUGUAAAGCUCUGUUAAUGAGGAAAAAUGGUAGUUGGUCUAAUAGGCCGAUUAUUUGAUGGUACUCAUAGAGGAAGCACCGGCUAACUUCGUGCCAGCAGCCGCGGUAAUACGAAGGGUGCAAGCGUUGUUCGGAUUUAUUGGGCGUAAAGCGCGCGUAGGCGGACCUGCAAGUAAGAUGUGAAAUCUCGAGGCUCAACCUCGAAACUGCGUCUUAAACUACAGGUCUAGAAUCUCGGAGGGGGAAGGGGAAUUUCGCAUGUAGGGGUAAAAUCCGUAGAUAUGCGAAGGAACACCAGAGGCGAAGGCGCCUUCCUGGACGAGUAUUGACGCUGAGGCGCGAAAGCGUGGGGAUCAAACAGGAUUAGAUACCCUGGUAGUCCACGCUGUAAACGAUGAACACUAGGUAUUGGAGGAUUUGACCCCCUUCAGUGCCGUAGCUAACGCGUUAAGUGUUCCGCCUGGGAAGUACGGUCGCAAGCUAAAACUCAAAANAGANGAGNGNGACGNGCGAGACGACACGAGGGAGAG